rfam:Brachypodium distachyon strain Bd21 chromosome 1, whole genome shotgun sequence.
AAUCUACUCACUCCGUUUCAUAAUUCUUGUCGAAAUAUUACAUGUAUCUAGAUGUUUUUUAAGAAUAGAUACAUCCAUAUUUGGACAAAUUUGAGACAAGAAUUAUGAAACGAAGGAAGUAGAGU